CCAAGGUGUUGAAUGGGGAGAAGAACCAGGAAGUAAAAAGAACAGGCAUUUUGUUAGCAGACAUUUUGCAAGCUGGUUAAUGUUUCAUAUGUGUUUGAAGAGACUGGACAUUUACUGUUUAUUGUGAACAAAGUCCUUUACUCAAGCAAGCUGCUUUGUUGUGUUGCUCAAAUUCUGUCUACUCCAACAGUUCUUCUACCUGAUCUGCCAGUUUCUGAGAACAUUUCAGGAACUGAAGAAAUGUUUCAGCAUUUAAGAAUCAUUGCUGUUCUUCCAGAAGACCCAAGUUUGGUUCCUGGUACCCAUAUCUGGUAACUCACAACUUCUUGGAUCUCUAGCUCCAGGGAAUCUAAUGUUCUCUCCUGACCUAUGAUCUGUGAAUUCACCUUAACUUGCAUUUCAAGCAGAUGAAAAAGAAAGGAAGCUGGCAAUAUCUUCAUCAAUCACUCUGCUUAUUACUGCAAGAUCUGCUGUUCACUAAGUCCCAUAUUUCUUCUACUUUCUCAGUGGCCUGGAGCCUAUAUUUAUGAUUCAGAGGGUUUCUGCCUACCACAGCAGAGGAGAUGUAGCAGAAUGGCUUAGUCCAUGGAGCAGGUGGUAAUUUACCACAUGGCAGUGGACCAGGAAGCAGUCUGAAGCCUGAAGUAGAGCUCUAUUCAAGAGCCACUCCAAGUGGCCUAAUUCUACCAGAGAAGUCCAUCUCCUAAAUGGUGCCACGAGCUGAGAAACAAGCAUUCCAACAAAACCUUAGUGCUGGCAAAGUGGUUUAUAAGUCAAAUGCUUGCCACACAAGCCUGUUUAAUCCCCAGCAGCCAUGUCAAGUUAGAAGAGGAGAACGCACUCCACAGUUUUCCCCUGACCUCUGCACAGCACAGGUUAUGUGGCACAUACAUUCCCCUCUUUUUAAUAAUAAAUAAAUAAACAAUAAAAAUAUGA